GUGUUGUAUGAAAGGAGAGAAGGUUAGCACUCCCCUUGAGAAGGAUGGAAAUGGUCCUAGUGGCCUUUACAAUGCAUAUAUGGUUAAGGCAUUGCCACCAACUUUGUGGCAUCUAACCAAGUUUUUCA
rnacentral:ncRNA from 1 species